UGCCAGCCGCCGCGGUAAUACGUAAGUCGCAAGCGUUAUCCGGAAUUACUGGGCGUAAAGCGCACGUAGGCGGAUUAGUAAGUUAGGGGUGAAAUCCCGGGGCCCAACCCCGGAACUGCCUCUAAUACUGCUAGUCUUGAGUUCGAGAGAGGUGAGUGGAAUUCCGAGUGUAGAGGUGAAAUUCGUAGAUAUUCGGAGGAACACCAGUGGCGAAGGCGGCUCACUGGCUCGAUACUGACGCUGAGGUGCGAAAGUGUGGGGAGCAAACAGGAUUAGAUA
rnacentral:rRNA from 1 species